rnacentral:tRNA from 2 species
GGGCGGAUACCCAAGCGGUCAAAGGGGCCUGACUGUAAAUCAGGUGGCAAAUGCCUUCGCUGGUUCGAAUCCAGCUCCGCCCACCA